CGCAUCUGUGCAUGCAGCAUAUCAAUAAGCGGAGGAAAAGAAACUAACAAGGAUUCCCCUAGUAACGGCGAGUGAAGCGGGAAGAGCUCAAAUUUGAAAUCUUAAAGGGUUUCCCUUUACGAAUUGUAGUUUAAAGAAGUGUUUUCUGUUGAGGUUUUGGUAAAAGUUCUUUGGAAUAGGACAUCAUAGAGGGUGAGAAUCCCGUAUUUGACCUUUACUUUCAACUUUGUGAUACACUUUCAAAGAGUCGGAUUGUUUGGGAAUGCAGUCCAAAAUGGGUGGUAAAUUUCAUCUAAAGCUAAAUAUUGGCGAGAGACCGAUAGCGAACAAGUACCGUGAGGGAAAGAUGAAAAGAACUUUGAAAAGAGAGUUAAACAGUACGUGAAAUUGUCAAAAGAGGAAGCGUUUGACACCAGUGUUGUUUUUCUGAAAAUCAAUUAAAGAACUGUUUAUGCUAAGUUGUUUAGACUUUAUCAGCUAACUGUUUAGUUUUGAGCUUUUCUUUAAUGCACUUUUCAGUUAACAAGUCAACAUCAAUUUCUUUUGCUGUAAAAAAGCUUGAGGAAGGUGGCUUGAGAUUCGUCUUAAGUGUUUAUAGCCUCUUGCCUAUGCAGUCGGAGAGAUUGAGGUCUGCAGCGUAGAUCCUUCGGGGCUAAAUGCAUUUGUGCUAAGUUAUAGGCAUUUUAUAGACAACUUGUUGACUAUGAUUUGUCUUGUAGCUUACUCGCUUAUGUUAUUUUACCUACGCUUAGGAUGUUGAACGCGCACAGAGUCUC
rnacentral:rRNA from 1 species